rnacentral:rRNA from 1 species
GAUGAACGCUGGCGGCGUGCCUAAUACAUGCAAGUAGAACGCUGAAGCAGGAGCUUUCUUCCCUGGAUGAGUUGCGAACGGGUGAGUAACGCGUAUGUAACCUGCCUGUUAGCGGGGGAUAACUCUUGGGAACGAUAGCUAAUACCGCAUAAUAUCAGUUGUUGCAUGACAUCUGUUUGAAAAGUGCAAUUUUACCACUACCUGUUGAACCUUCGUUGUAUUAGUUGGUUGGUGGGGUAACGGCUCACCAAGGCGACGAUACAUAGCCGACCUGAGAGGGUGAUCGGCCACACUGGGACUGAGACACGGCCCAGACUCCUACGGGAGGCAGCAGUAGGGAAUCUUCGGCAAUGGACGGAAGUCUGACCGAGCAACGCCGCGUGAGUGAAGAAGGUUUUCGGAUCGUAAAGCUCUGUUGUAAGAGAAGAACGAGUGUGAGAGUGGAAAGUCACCACUGUGACGGAAUUUAACCAGAAAGGAACGGCUACCUACGU